AUUGAACGCUGGCGGCAUGCCUUACACAUGCAAGUCGAACGGCAGCACGGGGGCAACCCUGGUGGCGAGUGGCGAACGGGUGAGUAAUGCAUCGGAACGUGCCCAGUAGUGGGGGAUAACCAGUCGAAAGACUGGCUAAUACCGCAUACGACCUACGGGUGAAAGCGGGGGACCGCAAGGCCUCGCGCUAUUGGAGCGGCCGAUGUCUGAUUAGCUAGUUGGCGGGGUAAAGGCCCACCAAGGCGACGAUCAGUAGCUGGUCUGAGAGGACGACCAGCCACACUGGGACUGAGACACGGCCCAGACUCCUACGGGAGGCAGCAGUGGGGAAUUUUGGACAAUGGGCGCAAGCCUGAUCCAGCCAUGCCGCGUGCGGGAAGAAGGCCUUCGGGUUGUAAACCGCUUUUGGCAGGAACGAAACGGCGCGGGUCAACACCUCGCGCUAAUGAUGGUACCUGCAGAAUAAGCACCGGCUAACUACGUGCCAGCCGCCGCGGUAAUAC
rnacentral:rRNA from 1 species